CAUAAGACGAGAAGACCCUAUGGAGCUUUAGACACAAAGACAGACUAUGUUAAACACCUUCGAACAAGAAAAAAAACUAAAUAUCCCCUGCUCUUAUGUCUUUGGUUGGGGCGACCUCGGGGAAACAACAAACCCCCAAGCGGAACAGAGGCACUGUCCUCCCAAACUGAGAGCUCCUGCUCUAAGAAAUAAAACUUUUAACCUUACAGACCCGGCAAAGCCGAUCAACGAACCGAGUUACCCUAGGGAUAACAGCGCAAUCCCCUUCCAGAGCCCCUAUCGCCAAGGGGGUUUACGACCUCGAUGUUGGAUCAGGAUAUCCUAAUGGCGCAGCCGUUAUUAAGGGUUCGUUUGUUCAACGAUUAAAGUCCUACGUGAUCUGAGUUCAGACCGGAGUAAUCCAGGUCAGUUUCUAUCUAUG